AUGACACUGAUGUUUUCCACACUUACUGCAGAGAGAGGUGAAAUGAUAAAUGCUUUUGUGCGUGUGUGCAGGAGGGAGCAAGAGGGGGAAGAGAUUAGCUACAGACGGACUUCCUCACAGAGAACACUUUCAGCUUUGGCUGGGAAUCAGUGGCGCAACCCUAAAAGAAGCUUUCAGGAAUUAACUGCAGGCCUGGCCCUACAGUGCAAAGCUGUUGUGCCAGUUUCGGGUAGACUCAGCCUGGUGUCUGGCUUGGGAAUGCGAGGUCCUCAGGUAUGUGCUGCAUGAUAACGAUGUAAUAUAGUUGUUGGUCUGCAGCUGUAACCCUCGCCUGGCUUACUGAAUUUAAGUGAUUAAAACAGAAGUUCAAAUCAUAUUAAUAAUCUCAGGGAAACCAAUGGGAGUCUUCAAGGAGUCCGUCUAACAGGGCAGUUGUUUAAACAGGCUGGCUGAAUUUCGGGUAACUUGAGGAAACUUCCGAAGCCCUGCCUGGAACUCUUUACAACUACCUGAAAGGAAGGUGUGGAGAGCUGGGGAUCGGCCUCUUCUCACAGGAAACUAGUGAUAGGACCAGAGGGAAUGGCCUCAAGUUGUGCCAGGGGAGGUUCAGGUUGGAAAUGAGGAGACAUUGCUUCUCAGAAAGAGCAGUCAGGCAUUGGGACGGGUUGCCCAGGGAGGUGGUGGAGUCACCGUCCCAGCGGGUGUUUAAGGAAGGGUUGGACGUGGUGCUUAGGGACAUGGUUUAGUGGGUGACAUUGGUGGUAGCGGGAUGGUUGGACCAGAGGAUCUUGGAGGGCUUUCACAACAUCAGUGACUCUGUGAGACUAAGGGCGGGAGGGGCGUGCCGUGGC
rnacentral:lncRNA from 1 species